rnacentral:rRNA from 1 species
GACAGAGGGUGCAAACGUUGCUCGGAAUCACUGGGCGUAAAGGGCGCGUAGGCGGGAAUGUAAGUCGGGCGUGAAAUCCCCAGGCUCAACCUGGGAACUGCACUCGAAACUGCGUUUCUUGAGUAUCGGAGAGGAAAGCGGAAUUCCUGGUGUAGAGGUGAAAUUCGUAGAUAUCAGGAGGAACACCAGUGGCGAAGGCGGCUUUCUGGACG